rnacentral:rRNA from 1 species
AAGCGUGCGUAGGCGGCUUUUUAAGUCGGAUGUGAAAUCCCCGAGCUUAACUUGGGAAUUGCAUUCGAUACUGGGAAGCUAGAGUAUGGGAGAGGAUGGUAGAAUUCCAGGUGUAGCGGUGAAAUGCGUAGAGAUCUGGAGGAAUACCGAUGGCGAAGGCAGCCAUCUGGCCUAAUACUGACGCUGAGGUACGAAAGCAUGGGGAGGCAAACAGGAUUAGAUACCCUUGU